AAUGGUGGUCAUAGCCGGGAAAUUUAUCAUACAAAGAGAAUGCAAAGGGUGUUUUGUGUCAAGUUCAGCUGUGAUGCUAGUUAUGUUAUUUCUGGGAGUGAUGACACUAAUCUCAGGCUUUGGAAGGCUAAAGCAUCAGAUAUCUCUUCCUUUCCUCGUGUUUCUGUUGUUGACCUUGGGUUGCAAUAUGGCUUUCUUCUGCUUCCUUUAACUAUGUGGAAUUCACUCAUUUACUUCUUGUAUAUUACGUUGCAAAUAUGAACUGCUUCUUUGGGCGUAGUAUUUUUGAAGGGUUUUUAUUUUUGGAUGGAUGAAAUAAAUACAUAAAUGGUUUGACCAAAGAAUUUUAUUGGUACCAUGCACACUAUAACUGAUGUAGGCUUGAAACACACAGACUAGUGACUGCAAGUUGAAUGGUUUCUAUUAACUUCUUCGACAUCCCUUCUUUUAGACAUCCUAUUAUAAACUUUUAACUACUUGUUACCUGCAGCUUCUUCCAAGGGUACAGAAAAAGCAUGAGUAUAAUGAGGCUGUCAAGAAUCGCUACAAGCACCUUCCCGAAGUCAAGCGUAUUGUGAGGCAUAGGCACCUACCAAAACCAGUGUACAAGGCAGCUGCAACAUUGCGUGAGAUGACCGAAUCUCGAAGAAAGAAACACGAGAAGAGGAAGGCGCAUAGCGCCCCAGGAAGCAUCAUUGAAGAGCCAUUACGGAAAAGAAAAAUCAUCAAAGUUGAGUGAUAAAUGUGGGUAGUUUGUAAUCGGCUCAUGCAUAUCCAUGUUAGAGAAUGGAUCUUUCAUGUCCAAUGUUCGUGAGCUCCAUACCAGUGCCUUUACAGUUCAAGUGAUUUCCCAAUCACCAAUCCUCGUCAUGCACGUGCUGUGUCUGUGGUGGCUUUGACGGACUAUGUUUUGUUCAUGCUAUACUAACGUCAGGUCAUAGUGUAGUUUAUUUCACUUGUUUAGCCUUGUGCAAUUUUGUCUGGAAAAAUGUGUAACUGAAUAUUAGAAGGUAUAUCAAGGGGACUAAUCUUUUUCA